rnacentral:rRNA from 1 species
AUCUGGGAGGACCAUCUCCUAAGGCUAAAUACUCUCUAGUGACCGAUAGUGAACCAGUACCGUGAGGGAAAGGUGAAAAGCACCCCGGAAGGGGAGUGAAAUAGAACCUGAAACCGUGUGCUUACAAGUAGUCAGAGCCCGUUAAUGGGUGAUGGCGUGCCUUUUGUAGAAUGAACCGGCGAGUUACGAUUUGAUGCAAGGUUAAGCAGUAAAUGUGGAGCCGUAGCGAAAGCGAGUCUGAAUAGGGCGUUUAGUAUUUGGUCGUAGACCCGAAACCAGGUGAUCUACCCUUGGUCAGGUUGAAGUUCAGGUAACACUGAAUGGAGGACCGAACCGACUUACGUUGAAAAGUGAGCGGAUGAACUGAGGGUAGCGGAGAAAUUCCAAUCGAACCUGGAGAUAGCUGGUUCUCUCCGAAAUAGCUUUAGGGCUAGCCUCAAGUGAUGAUUAUUGGAGGUAGAGCACUGUUUGGACGAGGGGCCCCUCUCGGGUUACCGAAUUCAGACAAACUCCGAAUGCCAAUUAAUUUAACUUGGGAGUCAGAACAUGGGUGAUAAGGUCCGUGUUCGAAAGGGAAACAGCCCAGACCACCAGCUAAGGUCCCAAAAUAUAUGUUAAGUGGAAAAGGAUGUGGCGUUGCCCAGACAACUAGGAUGUUGGCUUAGAAGCAGCCAUCAUUUAAAGAGUGCGUAA